UGUCCUACGGGAGGCUGCAGUGGGGAAUAUUGGACAAUGGGCGCAAGCCUGAUCCAGCCAUGCCGCGUGGGUGAUGAAGGCCUUCGGGUUGUAAAGCCCUUUUGGCGGGGACGAUGAUGACGGUACCCGCAGAAUAAGCCCCGGCUAACUUCGUGCCAGCAGCCGCGGUAAGACGAAGGGGGCAAGCGUUGUUCGGAAUUACUGGGCGUAAAGGGCGCGUAGGCGGCCCGAUAAGUCAGCCGUGAAAGGCCUGGGGUCAACCUGGGAAUUGCGGUUGGGACUGUUGGGCUGGAGAGCGGGAGAGGAUGGUGGAAUUCCCAGUGUAGAGGUGAAAUUCGUAGAUAUUGGGAAGAACACCGGUGGCGAAGGCGGCCAUCUGGACCGUAUCUGACGCUGAGGCGCGAAAGCGUGGGGAGCAAACAGGAUUAGAUACCCUAGUAGUCCA
rnacentral:rRNA from 1 species